rnacentral:rRNA from 1 species
CCAGACUCCUACGGGAGGCAGCAGUGGGGAAUAUUGCACAAUGGGCGAAAGCCUGAUGCAGCAACGCCGCGUGAGCGAUGAAGGCCUUCGGGUCGUAAAGCUCUGUCCUCAAGGAAGAUAAUGACGGUACUUGAGGAGGAAGCCCCGGCUGACUACGUGCCAGCAGCCGCGGUAAUACGUAGGGAGCAAGCGUUGUUCGGAAUGACUGGGCGUAAAGGGUGCGUAGGCGGUUGUACAAGUUAGAAGUGAAAUACCCAGGGCUUAACUCGGGUGCUGCUUCUAAAACUGUAUGACUUGAGUGCAGUAGAGGUUAGUGGAAUUCCUAGUGUAGCGGUGGAAUGCGUAGAUAUUAGGAGGAACACCAGAGGCGAAGGCGGCUAACUGGACUGCAACUGACGCUGAGGCACGAAAGUGUGGGGAGCAAACAGGAUUAGAUACCCGGGUAGU